rnacentral:rRNA from 1 species
ACGCUCGACACCUACGGGGGCAGCAGUCGGGAAUAUUGCGCAAUGGAGGAAACUCUGACGCAGUGACGCCGCGUGCAGGAAGAAGGUUUUCGGAUUGUAAACUGCUUUAGACAGGGAAGAAAGAAAUGACAGUACCUGUAGAAUAAGCUCCGGCUAACUACGUGCCAGCAGCCACGGUAAUCUGAGCGGGCUGGCAAGGC